GACGAACGCUGGCGGCGUGCUUAACACAUGCAAGUCGAACGGAAAGGCCCUGCUUUUGUGGGGUGCUCGAGUGGCGAACGGGUGAGUAACACGUGAGUAACCUGCCCUUGACUUUGGGAUAACUUUAGGAAACUGGGGCUAAUACCGGAUAGGAGCUCCUGCUGCAUGUUGGGGGUUGGAAAGUUUCGGCGGGUGGGGAUGGUGUCGCGGCUUAUCAGCUUGUUGGUGGGGUAGUGGCUUACCAAGGCUUUGACGGGUAGCCGGCCUGAGAGGGUGACCGGCCACAUUGGGACUGAAAUACGGCCCAGACUCCUACGGGAGGCAGCAGUGGGGAAUAUUGCACGAUGGGCGGAAGCCUGAUGCAGCAACGCCGCGUGCGGGAUGACGGCCUUCGGGUCGUAAACCGCUUUCGCCUGUGACGAAGCGUGAGUGACGGUAAUGGGUAAAGAAGCACCGGCUAACUACGUG
rnacentral:rRNA from 1 species